rnacentral:rRNA from 1 species
ACCAGCACCUCGAGUGGUCAGGAGGUUUAUUGGGCCUAAAGCAUCUGUAGCCGGUUGUUUAAGUUUUCGGUUAAAUCUAUGCGCUUAACGUAUAGGCUGCCGAAAAUACUGGACAGCUAGGGAGUGGGAGAGGUACACGGUACUCAAUAGGAAGGGGUAAAAUCCUUUGAUCUGUCGAUGACCACCUGUGGCGAAGGCGGUGUACCAGAACACGUUCGACGGUGAGGGAUGAAAGCUGGGGGAGCAAACCGGA